GGUAGGAGAGAUCCAGAGACUGUCAUAUUGUGUCUUAUUCAGUGUGUGAUCAGUCAUGUGUUGUGAACUGACAGCAGGUUUGUCUGUCUACACUCACAGGUCUCUCUAAGAGGAGACACAGGACGAUGUCUGAGGACGUUUAUGAGGAAAUUCAGUACAGACAAAAUCACUUCACUCAGAACGACAAAAUGGACCAGGAGGCAACCAGGAAUAUGGACCAGGAAUAUGCCAACACUGAUAGACUGAAUUAUGGCACAACUGAGAUCUAUGAUGAUGCCUCAACUAUGAGAGAAGAGUAUGGAGAAAAGGAGCCAACUGAAGAUGAAAAGCGUGUGUGAUCAACUACUGCUUCUGCUGUUUCUUCUUAUAAUUGUUGUUGUUGUUGUUGUUUGCUACCUGGUGCAUUUUAAUAUCAGUUAAUCAACGAUAUCGACAUGUUUGGUAUUAAUCUGCUUUAAAAUUAUAUAUAUUUCUUACCCAUUUUCAUACAACUGGGAGCAGAAGACAGGCAGACAUGUAAAGCUGUCUCAUAAUUGUCUUAUUUUGAUUUCUUCAUAUUGCUUGCUCUGAUUUAAUGUCUAAUUAUUUUAAUGUGUAAAAAUGAUCACAUAUUACUUUAGUAACUGUGUCAUAUUUUGAGUAAUUUCCAUUUGUGGCGGAGGGUUCUACUCAAUCCUCCCGGAAGCACACUUUACACUGGUGCUGAAUGGUAGCGGCCGCUGUCCAUGGUGCUGAUUGAAUGUCCACACUGUAGUUCAGCUAAUUUCCAUUGCCAUGUCAUGAAAAUAAGUGACCAUAAAAAACAAGAAAGCCAGAAAAUAUGUUUAGCUGGAUGUAAAGGUAUAAAUAUCUACCCCACAUAAAAUACAUUCGAAAUGCCAUCAACACGGUUAAUUUAAUCCAAUAUUUGGUUGUGCAUAGUCCCACGAAUGAAACAAUUUAUAUCAAUAAAUCAAAAUU